AGCAGAGGCUGGAAUAAGCUGGAGAGAAAGUUUAUCUGGGGCCAACAGAGUGGGGAGGGAUGAAGCGACCACUGGAUUGGGAAGGGCCCUUAUCUCCUGUGAGUGGCUGGUGUGUGCCUGUAUGUAUGUAUGUGAGAGUGUGGUUGCCAGAGGCUUGGAGGGGUGAGACAGCCCCAUUGCCUGCCCUCAGGCCCUGCCCUGAGCUGCCCACGGAGCUGCUGAUUCAGAUCAUAGGACAGGCAGGGCCCUCAGAGACAUCUCAGCGCAGGGGUAUCAAAUCAAUGGGCAACAGCCAAGCCUUCCUGUCCCUCCACUCCGAGUGAAUCACUCCUGGCUGCGGCCAAGAAGCAGGUUUCAGAGCCGCUGCGCCUGCAGCCUGGCCGGCCUCUGAGGACAGAGGACUGCUGCUCCUUGGGGCCCGCUCCGCCCCAGGCUGCCUGGUCUCUGUGCUGGGCAAGCUCAGAUAGACAGUUUUGAAGUACAGGUCUGAUCCUCAGCAGAAGGGAAAACGAAUGCGUGGAUUGGCUCAGAAGGCAAAGGAGAAACCGAAGCCCGGAGAAGGGGUCUCGGAGCUCAUCCAGAGCCUUCCAGGAGCCCAGGCUUGCUCUGCAAUGGCCUCACUCGGGAGCAAGUCCUGGCCUUUUUCUGCUUAGCAAGAGACUUGCUCAUUUGACUGGGCUGCCCCAGGGGAAAUAGGCUGUCCACAAAUUGGGGCAACCGGGUGGGCUGGGGAGGCAGGCAGCAGCCGGAACCCAGCCUGUCUUUGCCGGGCGCCCCAGCUGGUCCUGCCAGAUUGUGCUGAGCUGGCCCACGCCUGGGAGGAAGGCGGUGGACUCAGACGCGCCUGGGAGCCGAAGGGCGGGGGGCGGGGCAGGCCAGACGCCUCCGCUCCACCCACUGUCUGCCACAGCAACAUUAUUCCCCGGACAGAUGAGGACACCUCCGUUCCGAGGGGCCAGAUUUGCCCAAGGCCAAGGCUCCCCAUGUCUGACCAAGCCUGUUACCCAGGAGUCCAACUCCCACCUACCCAGGAGCUGUUCCUGGGCCCCUCAGGUAAGGCAGGGCUACCUGAUUCCCUUCCCAGAACUUCCAAACAAUGACAGCUUGGCCGCCUGUUCUCGUCACUGUGUAAAAGAAAGGAAAACAUAGAAAAGCCAAAAGAAAGUGCAAUCACUCCUGCGAUCGGCCCCAGUUCCCAAAUAGCCCCAGUUAACCCUGCCUGCUACUUUCUCUGGAACUGAACCCCUUCCUGUCUGCUCUGCAGGCCUCACCCAGGCCCCCUGCUACCCUGCUGUGGCUGAGACGGUCCCACCCCUGGGGUAGGCAUCUGUGUCCUGCCCUCCUGCGCUGCCCCUCCCCCACUGUGCCUGCCCCAGUGAUGGCUCAGGGGGCCUCAGAC